GAUGAACGCUGGCGGCGUGCCUAAUACAUGCAAGUCGAGCGAACAGACGAGGAGCUUGCUCCUCUGACGUUAGCGGCGGACGGGUGAGUAACACGUGGAUAACCUACCUAUAAGACUGGGAUAACUUCGGGAAACCGGAGCUAAUACCGGAUAACAUGUUGAACCGCAUGGUUCAACAGUGAAAGACGGUCUUGCUGUCACUUAUAGAUGGAUCCGCGCCGCAUUAGCUAGUUGGUAAGGUAACGGCUUACCAAGGCAACGAUGCGUAGCCGACCUGAGAGGGUGAUCGGCCACACUGGAACUGAGACACGGUCCAGACUCCUACGGGAGGCAGCAGUAGGGAAUCUUCCGCAAUGGGCGAAAGCCUGACGAAGCAACGCCGCGUGAGUGAUGAAGGUCUUCGGAUCGUAAAACUCUGUUAUUAGGGAAGAACAAAUGUGUAAGUAACUAUGCACGUCUUGACGGUACCUAAUCAGAAAGCCACGGCUAACUACGUG
rnacentral:rRNA from 1 species